rnacentral:lncRNA from 1 species
AAGUAUUCUGUCUAUCAUGAGAGUGAUUGCAAGGGAAAAGAUUGCAAGGAACAAGAACACCAUGAGAUGAAUGAUGGCAUGAAGGAGACUGACACCUGCUCCAACUCCUCCAUACAGUGUGACGGCAUUCAAAACUGUCAACAGGCCAUCGAUGAGACAAACUUGAGAUUCAGUGAAGGUGGAGUGUUGCAGGUCAGAACUGCUCAGGAUGGUCGAUUCCUUCCAGUGUGUAAUCAGGGAUUGGAUCAGAGUUAUGCUGACCAGAUCUGCGAACAACUGGGCUUUAGAAGGUCUUAUGCAUCAAAUCCAGUUGAUAGCGAGACAUCAGUAGCUCUUACUGUAGGAC